GGAGGUGUCGCCUAGUGGCCUAUGGCGCCCGCCUGCUAAGCGGGUUGGGAGUUUGAAGCUCCCUCGAGGGUUCAAAUCCCUCCACCUCCGCCG
rnacentral:tRNA from 1 species